rnacentral:pre_miRNA from 1 species
CAUGCACUGGUGGAGUCCCUCGGCUUGGCCUGCAGGGAUUGGGCUGAAACCAGCUCUCCAACAUCCCCCGAGGUAUCCCAGAUUGCAGGAGGGUGCAGGCCAGGCUGAGGGACCCCACCAGUGCACG